UACGGGGGGGGCGAGCGUUGUUCGGAAUUACUGGGCGUAAAGGGCGCGUAGGCGGGCGGGUAAGUCUCUCGUGAAAGCCCACGGCUCAACCGUGGAAUUGCGGGAGAUACUACUUGUCUUGAGUCCGGGAGAGGAGUGUGGAAUUCCCAGUGUAGCGGUGAAAUGCGUAGAUAUUGGGAGGAACACCGGUGGCGAAGGCGGCACUCUGGACCGGAACUGACGCUGAGGCGCGAAAGCUAGGGGAGCAAACGGG
rnacentral:rRNA from 1 species